ACAUUCAGUUCAUCGACUCGGAUCCGCAGAAACGAAAAUGGAACUCACCAUGAAGAACACUUCCGGCUGGUGACUCGCGCUGGUCCGCUUUAAAUCGACUCGGAGAGAUGCUUAGUGCAAGGAAAUUCUGAAGCUGGAACCAGACAAAGGAAGGACCACAAGGGUCAUGCUCACUCUUACAAGGAGAGCGAUCUAAAGUUUGCAAGUUUUUAUGGAGGACAGCAUUUUGAGAUGGUGGGGAACAAGUAACUGUUAAAGGAAUGGAGUGCCAGUACUACACUAAAGAGAAGGGAAAGAUGGUGGUGGUGGAAUCCCUUAAGAGGCUCCGUGGACUCUGUGAAACGUUGUGUUGAUUCCGAGGCUACAAGAACAGAAUGUGGAGGAGAGCUGCUCUCCUCUUUUGCGUGGUGAGGUGGACAGAAGUUGCAAGAAAACAUAAAAUGUGUGGUGCUUGGAGCGUGGGAAAAAGAGCUGUAACGCUCACGAGGCCUUCAAGGUUGAAGUGACGGAGAAUCUAAGUGACAAGCUGAAGUUUUCUUAAUUACGUGAUGCCUUAUCUUUGCAAGGUGGAAGAUCUCGCGUUCUUAUCUCGUGUAGCAUUUCUACAUGGUCAACAUUCCUGAAAGAAUCAUUUUAAGUAAAUUCUUAAUCAUCGGAGGUACGGGGUGGUGUUGCUCAAAACCGCUGAUUGGAGUCGCUUUAUAAGUCCAGUCCGCUUAAAACCAUAAAGGACGGAGGUAUGCUUCGUCGUGAACUUAGUUUUUUUAUCAGACAUCCGCUCGUACUCUUUCUCACUAGCCGAGAGCACUAGGAAGCAGCUGAGACUGACUUUGGGAAGCCAGCGUUACGUUCCACCACUGGAUUGUGGGUUGCUGACUAAGUUUUUCUCGCUUGAUAUCUUACGAAUGCUUCACCAAAGCAAUGCCUCGGCCGCUGACUGGCUCCACACUCACUGCUUUGUCGAUGCUGGACGGAGACCAGGCACCGCCAUAGAUGAUCUCCUUCUGCGAUAUCUUUGGUCUUUGGACACCUACUUCCAACACUUUGAACUUGAGAUUUCCAAGUCGGCAUGGGGAGGCAGUCCGGCCUGAGCGCCGUGUAGCUUUUCCCAUUCUAGAUUCUCGGCUUGAGUGGUACGGAAGUUGGGCUUUCUACGUUGAAGCUCCAGGUCACGGGAUGCGCUUUUAUAGUUGUAUGUUUUAGCAGUGAAUCAAGCUGGCUGCUCUCCCA